rnacentral:rRNA from 1 species
AACGAACGCUGGCGGCAGGCUUAACACAUGCAAGUCGAACGCCCCGCAAGGGGAGUGGCAGACGGGUGAGUAACGCGUGGGAAUCUACCCAUCCCUACGGAACAACUCCGGGAAACUGGAGCUAAUACCGUAUACGCCCUUUGGGGGAAAGAUUUAUCGGGGAUGGAUGAGCCCGCGUUGGAUUAGCUAGUUGGUGGGGUAAAGGCCUACCAAGGCGACGAUCCAUAGCUGGUCUGAGAGGACGAUCAGCCACAUUGGGACUGAGACACGGCCCAAACUCCUACGGGAGGCAGCAGUGGGGAAUAUUGGACAAUGGGCGCAAGCCUGAUCCAGCCAUGCCGCGUGAGUGAUGAAGGCCUUAGGGUUGUAAAGCUCUUUCACCGGAGAAGAUAAUGACGGUAUCCGGAGAAGAAGCCCCGGCUAACUCCGUGCCAGCAGCCGCCGUAAGAC